rnacentral:rRNA from 1 species
AGGACGAACGCUGGCGGCGUGCUUAACACAUGCAAGUCGAGCGGAAAGGCCCUUCGGGGUACUCGAGCGGCGAACGGGUGAGUAACACGUGAGCAACCUGCCCCAUGCUUUGGGAUAACCCUCGGAAACGGGGGCUAAUACCGAAUAUUCACGACGGAUCGCAUGGUUUGUUGUGGAAAGUUUUUUCGGCGUGGGAUGGGCUCGCGGCCUAUCAGCUUGUUGGUGGGGUAAUGGCCUACCAAGGCGACGGACGGGU